GCCUGGCUGGCUCAGUUGGUAGAGCAUGAGACUCUUGAUCUCGGGGUUGUGAGUUCGAGCCUCACGUUAAGUG
rnacentral:tRNA from 2 species